rnacentral:lncRNA from 1 species
AAUUUUCUUCUUUUUUAUUUUCUUGAACCCCGAAAUUUUCUUUUGCGCAAAUGAUCCCGGAUCACUGCAUUUGAACCCCGAUACUGUUUGCCAAAAUAAUGAACCCCAAUCUCCAGAAAACACCUCGUGUCUCCUUUUCUCCAUUUGAACCCCAGUCGCCUGACGAUAACUUGCGAUCGCCAUUGUGAACCCCAUUCUCCAGAAAAUGCCUCAACAUUUCCCUUUCUCCAUUUGAACCCCGUUCUCCAGAAAAUGCCUCAACAUUUCC